rnacentral:rRNA from 1 species
GCGCACCAGGCGAGAAACCUUCGCAAUGCGGGAAACCGCGACGAGGGGACUCCCAGUGCCUACGCUCAGCGUAGGCUGUUCCCGAGCCUAGAAAGUCUCGGGGAGUAAGGGCUGGGUAAGACGGGUGCCAGCCGCCGCGGUAAUACCCGCAGCCCGAGUGGUGGCCACUAUUAUUGGGCCUAAAAGCGUCCGUAGCCGGCCCGGUAAAUGCCUGGGUAAAUCGUGAGGCCUAACCUCACGAAUUCCGGGUAGACUGCCGGGGCUAGGGACCGGAGGAGGGAGAGGGUACUCCAGGGGUAGGGGUGAAAUCCUGUAAUCCCUGGAGGACCACCGGUGGCGAAGGCGCUCUCCCUAGGACGGGUCCGACGGUGAGGGACGAAAG